GUGUCAGCAGCCGCGGUAAUACAGAGAGUGCAAGCGUUAAUCGGAAUUACUGGGCGUAAAGCGCACGUAGGUGGAUGCUUAAGUCGGAUGUGAAAGCCCCGGGCUUAACCUGGGAAUUGCAUUCGAUACUGGGCGUCUAGAGUAUAGUAGAGGGAAGUGGAAUUUCAGGUGUAGCGGUGAAAUGCGUAGAUAUCUGAAGGAACACCAGUGGCGAAAGCGGCUUCCUGGACUAAUACUGACACUGAGGUGCGAAAGCGUGGGGAGCAAACAGGAUUAGAGACCCUGGUAGUCCACGCCGUCAACGAUGAGAACUAGAUGUUGGGGAUAUUGAUCCUUAGUAUCAAAGCUAACGCGUUAAGUUCUCCGCCUGGGGAGUACGGCCGCAAGGUUAAAACUCAAAGGAAUUGACGGGG
rnacentral:rRNA from 1 species